rnacentral:misc_RNA from 1 species
UGAAAUUAGUUUUCAUAUUGCAAACAAAUUGCAAAGCUUGGGGAUUCCCACAAAGUGGCCUUCCACAUCAACUAAUUAAUCUGCGUGUCAAAAGUUUACACUUUUAUUUCUCACUUUUUAUAUGUUUUCUCUUUUAAAAUGAUUAAAUGAAAAUAACCUCAAGUCACCUCUCAAAGAUGUUUCCUUUACUUUAUUGAAUUGAGGUUAUUGCAGGCUAUAUAUAGGACCGUA